rnacentral:miRNA from 1 species
UACCAAAAGUAAUAAUGUGCUG